AGAGAUUGCAUAGUUGAAGCAAAGAGGAAAAGACCUACAGGGACAAUUGUCCCUGUGAAAAAGAGGGGGUUACACAGGGUGUGGGACAUGCGGGUCUCUCACAGGACUGCCUCCUGUGGCUUCCACGCCAAGAAGCGCUUCUCAGAAGCAGAAGAGAUUCUGCAAACUGGACUUUCAAUUCAGUUCCCAGAAAUGCAUUCCGGCUGGCGGCAAUGAUUCUCAUGAGCUAAAAUAGGCUGUGAUAUGACAGUUGCUUUGUAGCCUUGGGUUGUGAAGCUGUUAUUUAUGAGGCUGUGUGUUCACCCCCAUGCAGAAAGGCGCACAAACAGAGUUUUCCUCAGAGGGUAACUGAGGAGAAUGAUAAUGACCCAUUCUCUGGGAAGACCAUCUGUCCUAAAGAAGUUGUGAGGACCAAACACACUUCUGUUUUAGUAUUAAUCUUACUAGUAAAGAUACAUAUGAAUCCCUUUUCCUAGAGUUAACUUUGCACUCUGGAUGGACUAAGUACAAAUUAGAACCUAGUAACUGAGAGCCCAGGUAUCAGGAGAGGAAUUCGGGAGUCAGUCAAGUAUACACUUCAGUAGCUUGCCUCCAAGAUGCCCAUGACCAAUUCUUCCCUUCACUGUAUAAGCCCAUUGCUCUCCUAUUGAGAAGUAGAAUCUGCUUCUUCAUUCUUCUGAAACUAGGUUGCCUCAUGACCACCAUGUUGUGAGAAAAAACCUAAGCCGUAUGGGGUAGCAGCAGGGGUUCUCAGAGAUGCCCACCAACCUCUGCCAUCCCCAUUCAUUCCAGCCCAUAAUCCAGACAGUUGUGUUAAGAAGGCACUUCACU